rnacentral:rRNA from 1 species
UGAGGAAUAUUCCACAAUGGGGGCAACCCUGAUGGAGCGAUGCCGCGUGCAGGAAGACGCUUUUCGGAGUGUAAACUGCUUUUAACAGGGAAGAUUAUGACGGUACCUGUAGAAUAAGGACCGGCUAACUACGUGCCAGCAGCCGCGGUAAUACGUAGGGUCCAAGCGUUAUUCGGAAUUACUGGGCGUAAAGCGUUCGUAGGCGGUUUGAUAAGUUGGAUGUGAAAUCCUGUGGCUCAACCACAUGGACUGUGUCCAAAACUAUCUAACUAGAGCAUAGUAGAGGCAAGUGGAAUUUCUGGUGUAGGAGUGACAUCCGUAGAUAUCAGAAGGAACACCAAUGGCGAAGGCAGCUUGCUGGGCUAUUGCUGACGCUCAGGAACGAAAGCGUGGGGAGCGAACGGG